GAAUGUUCUAAGAUGCUAGUACAACAGUACCAGAUUGACUUGAGUGACUUAUGACUGUUGCAUUUGUAUGCAGGAAAUGCAGAGAGAUGCCAAAAAGCAUGGCUUAUAGAAGGUUAUGGACUAUUUACAUUGUAUCUUGUGAUGUUGACAGCUGCAGCAAAUGAUCUAGGUUGAUACUAUGAUAUUGGUUAAUGAGAUGUAUAGUAUAUAAAGAAUUACCUGGCUUUGAUAGGAGAUUAAGUUGUCUGGGUCUGUGUUAUUCAGGUAAAAACUGAUCACACUUUCAUUAUAGAGUAACACCUGAAGAUGAAUGAAACCACAAGGUAUUGUGCAACAGCUUGAGGAUAGGAUGGACAAUGCAAAGACAUGUAAAGAUGGAAUGUCAAGGAAAAAGGUGGAGGUCGUUCAUAAGGUGAUUGCUCUGUUAAUUAAGAAGUACCUGUUAGACUUUCGAUGUCAUCAUCGAUCAAACAGUUCAUAAACUGUCUUAGUGCUCCAUACUUGUUACACAACGUAAAUGUUUUAAAACUCAUCAUUCCAGUACUAUUCCAGAGAAGCUGAAGACAAGCACCUGCUCUACGUUGUAUGUCCAAUAAAGCCACCCAGACUGUUACAGAA